rnacentral:rRNA from 1 species
GGGCACGACGCAAGAUUAUGUAAUUGGUAAGGUAGCGGCCUACCAGACCGAUGAUGCUUAGGGGGCCUGAGAGGGUGAUCCCCCACACUGGUACUGAGACACGGACCAGACUCCUACAGGAGGCAGCAGAUGAGGAAUAUUGGACUAUGGGUAGCAGCCUGAUCCAGCCAUCCCGCGUGAACGACUACGGGUUCUAUGGAUUGUAACUUCUUUUAUAUAGGAUAAGACCUACUCGUCGUGAGUAGUAGCUGAAGUACUAUAUGAAUAAGCACCGGCUAACUCCGUGCCAGCAGCCGCGGUAAUACGGAGGGUGCAAGCGUAUCCGGAUUUAUGGGUGUAAAGGGUCCGUAAGCGGGCUUGUAAGUCAGAUUGGUGAAAUCCGCGCGAGCUCAACCUGUGCGAACUGCCUAUUGAUACUGCAAGUCUUGAGUAACAUUAGAAGUGGGCUGGAAUAACGUAGUGUAGCGGUGAAAUGCAUAGAUAUUACGUAAGAAUCACCAGAUGGCGAAGGCAGGUCACUAUGUUAAUAACUGACGCUGAUGUGACGAAAGCGUGGGUAGCGAACAGGAUUAGAUACCCUGGUAGUCCACGCCCGUAAACGAUGUAUUACUCGGUAUUGUUGGGCUAUAUAGUGUCAUGAGCACUAAGACGAGAAGUGAUAUAGUAAUCCACCCUGGGGAGUACUGUUCGCAAGAAUGAAUACUCAAAGGAAUUGACGCGGGGSCCCGCACAAGCGGUGGAGCAUGUGGUUUAAUUCGAUGAUACGCGAGCGAACACCUUACCAAAGGCAUUAACAUGGGAAUUGACAGGCUUAUGACAUAGGGCUUAUCUUCGGACAAUUUUCAAGGUGCUGCAUGGUGUGUCGUCAGCUCGUGCCGUGAGGUGUUAGGUUAAGUCCUGCAACGAGCGCAACCCCUGUCACUAGUUGCUAACAUUAAAGUUGAGGACUCUAGUGUAGAACUGCCCUACGCAAGUAGAGGAGGAAG